CUAUAGGUAGCUCACAGGCAAAUAUACAGAAAUGUAUAAAGAAACUGACUUCAGUAAAGAUAAGUGAGUAGCCGAAAAUCCCACUUAAAGAGGCAAAACCAUAUUGGAACCAAUGUUACAAUGAAUCCUAGUAGGUUCUGGUGUUUCUGUUUAAAAGCUCUGCUGCCACAGCAUCGUACAAUCACUGCCUCGACAUAUUGUUGACAAGAACUGCCAAGCACCUCGCCUUCAUUUCUCACACAAGAAAGCAACAGAGAGUUGGAAAUAAUCUUCAACAUGACACCGAUUAUACUUUUUUCAGCUGGAGCACAGAUACCCUUCCAUUUGUACCCUCUUAGCUAACUCACAGAUUUUUUUUUAAACAUUCUUCUAGUUCUAGGAAAUGCAAAUAAAAGAAGAAAUGUGUGGCUAUGACACCAUUUUAAACAUGUGUCAUCCAUUCCAUACUAAAACUCAUGGUUUUGUUGAAGUUUGGGGUAUCUCUUUUUUUCUUUGUUAACGUUUUAAUACAUAAAAUAAAAUGUAAGAGUG
rnacentral:lncRNA from 10 species